CAGUAGCCGCGGGAAUACGUAGGUGGCAAGCGUUGUCCGGAAUUAUUGGGCGUAAAGGGCUCGCAGGCGGUUUCUUAAGUCUGAUGUGAGAGCCCCCGGCUCAACCGGGGAGGGUCAUUGGAAACUGGGAAACUUGAGUGCAGAAGAGGAGAGUGGAAUUCCACGUGUAGCGGUGAAAUGCGUAGAGAUGUGGCGGAACACCAGUGGCGAAGGCGACUCUCUGGUCUGUAACUGACGCUGAGGAGCGAAAGCGUGGGGAGCGAACAGGAUUAGAUACCCCAGUAGUCCCUGUCUCUUAUAC
rnacentral:rRNA from 1 species